rnacentral:rRNA from 1 species
GCUUACGGCCACACCUCCCUGAGCAACCCGAUCUCGCUUGAUCUCGGAAGCUAAGCAGGGUCGGGCCCGGUUAGUAACUUGGAUGGGAGACCGCCUGGGAAUAGCCAGGUGCUUAAAGCC